GCCAGUGUAGUGUAGUGGUUUGAAGGUUGGACUAUGACUCUGAAGACCAGGGUUCGAAUCCCGGCUCAGCCA
rnacentral:tRNA from 1 species